UGAGGACCACACUAGCUAUAAGAUGUGUCAGGCAGCCAUGAUUCCACAGCAGAUAAAUAAUUUGCAAUGAAUAGAUUUAUGUAACACAUGAUGGAGUUCUGUCACCUUGUUGGAGAAGUUGGAAGCUGCCCUGUUCUCUGGCUUCUGACUGCUCCAUUCCACCUGAUGGUGAAAGGUUGUGACAUUAAGGAAAUUUAGCCGCCAUCCUAAUGUGAUGGGUUCGUUGCAUUCUCUCGGAGUAGUCCUCUCGGAACUGAGGAGGGCAUAGAGUUGCCUUUCUGACCUCGUGCAAGUCCCUGUCCAUGAGAGUUCAGAGAGAACAGUUGAUAGCUAUAGUCAUCAGACUGGAACCUCAAAGUUAUCAUACAUGGAUUGUUUUGGAUGCUUUAGUUUUCACCUGUAGAUCAAAGGAAGAAUUGCC
rnacentral:lncRNA from 1 species